rnacentral:rRNA from 1 species
AGAGUUUGAUCCUGGCUCAGGAUGAACUCUGGCGGCGUGCUUAACACAUGCAAGUCGAGCGAAGCACCUUGACGGAUUUCUUCGGAUUGAAGCCUUGGUGACUGAGCGGCGGACGGGUGAGUAACGCGUGGGUAACCUGCCUCAUACAGGGGGAUAACAGUUGGAAACGGCUGCCAAUACCGCAUAAGCGCACAGUACCGCAUGGUACGGUGUGAAAAACUCCGGUGGUAUGAGAUGGACCCGCGUCUGAUUAGGUAGUUGGUGGGGUAACGGCCUACCAAGCCGACGAUCAGUAGCCGACCUGAGAGGGUGACCGGCCACAUUGGGACUGAGACACGGCCCAAACUCCUACGGGAGGCAGCAGUGGGGAAUAUUGCACAAUGGGGGAAACCCUGAUGCAGCGACGCCGCGUGAGCGAUGAAGUAUUUCGGUAUGUAAAGCUCUAUCAGCAGGGAAGAAAAUGACGGUACCUGACUAAGAAGCCCCGGCUAACUACGUGCCAGCAGCCGCGGUAAUACGUAGGGGGCAAGCGUUAUCCGGAUUUACUGGGUGUAAAGGGAGCGUAGACGGCAUGGCAAGCCAGAUGUGAAAACUCCGGGGCUACAACCCUCGGGACUGCAUUUGGAACUGUCAGGCUAGAGUGUCGGAGAGGAAAGCGGAAUUCCUAGUGUAGCGGUGAAAUGCGUAGAUAUUAGGAGGAACACCAGUGGCGAAGGCGGCUUUCUGGACGAUGACUGACGUUGAGGCUCGAAAGCGUGGGGAGCAAACAAGAUUAGAUACCCUCGUAGUCCACGCCCUAAACGAUCAAUAAUAGGUGUCGGGUGGCAAAGCCAUUCGGUGCCGCAGCAAACGCAAUAAGUAUUCCACCUGGGGGAGUACGUUCGCAAGAAAUGAAACUCAAAGGAAUUUGACGGGGACCCGCACAAGCGGUGGAGCAUGUGGUUUAAUUCGAAGCAACGCGAAGAACCUUACCUGGUCUUGACAUCCCUCUGACCGCUCUUUAAUCGGAGCUUUCCUUCGGGACAGAGGAGACAGGUGGUGCAUGGUUGUCGUCAGCUCGUGUCGUGAGAUGUUGGGUUAAGUCCCGCAACGAGCGCAACCCCUAUCUUUAGUAGCCAGCAUUUUGGAUGGGCACUCUAGAGAGACUGCCAGGGAUAACCUGGAGGAAGGUGGGGAUGACGUCAAAUCAUCAUGCCCCUUAUGACCAGGGCUACACACGUGCUACAAUGGCGUAAACAAAGGGAAGCGAGCCCGCGAGGGGGAGCAAAUCCCAAAAAUAACGUCUCAGUUCGGAUUGUAGUCUGCAACUCGACUACAUGAAGCUGGAAUCGCUAGUAAUCGCGAAUCAGAAUGUCGCGGUGAAUACGUUCCCGGGUCUUGCACACACCGCCCGUCA